GAGGCAACAGACAUUCAAUAAAUGCUGGAACACAUAAAAGCUUACCUGCUGCGGCUCUGAAAGAGACUCGCCUCCAACAUGAAGCGGUGGCAGAUGGGUGCAGGGCAGCGCCACCAGGAGUAAGGAGACGGCGUUCACGAGCAUAUCAGGAGAUUGUGGAUUUAGCAUAUCUCCCAGAGUUAAAGCAGCAAGUACAUUGUCAAAGACAAUGUUUAUUCUCAACGCAAGCAAGACUGUCUGGAAUGUAAGGAGGCACAUUUUAUCCUGUUUUUUCAAGCGACGAGUUAAACUACGGAGAUUCUAGCUGCAUUGUUUCUAAGCUAUUAUUUGUUAUUUCUGAUUGUCGAGCAAGCAGCAUCGCUCCAUUGUGAAGAAAAAAGAGUAGGUUGGGAGGGAGGGAAAUAUGAAGCCCUACUCACUAGGCACUCCAUGCCAUUUUCCAGGUGUUUUGAAACAAGU
rnacentral:sRNA from 2 species